ACGGAGGGUGCAAGCGUUGUCCGGAUUUAUUGGGUUUAAAGGGUGCGUAGGCGGCCUAGUAAGUCAGCGGUGAAAUCCCACGGCUCAACCGUGGAACUGCCGUUGAUACUGCUGGGCUUGAGUUCGUCCGAGGUCGCUGGAAUGCGUGGUGUAGCGGUGAAAUGCAUAGAUAUCACGCAGAACACCGAUUGCGAAGGCAGGUGACUGGGACGCGACUGACGCUGAGGCACGAAAGUGUGGGGAGCAAACAGG
rnacentral:rRNA from 1 species